AUUGAGUACCACUUUGCUUGCCUUGACGUUUUCAACUGUUUAUAAAUCAUCUGUUAUGUGAGCUAGCAAAAUGUCUGCACAUGUUAAGUUGCUCUUAUGAUGUUCAAAUGAUAUAUGUAAGCUUGGAAUUGGAAGUGUACAAAACUCAUCUGUGAUCUCUCUCUCUCUUAAGAACUCUUUUUUAUUCGUGUUCUAUAUACAAGUGUUCUAUAUAUAAGCGAGUCCCCCGUUGCUUGGUGUUGUUUCUAAGUGUGUAUAAAUAAUUUGUUUAACGAGCUAGUAAAAUGUUCAGAGAUGUUAAUUAGCUCACGUAAAAUACACAUGAUGAUUAUAUUCCUAAGAUUGGUAAUAGGAAGUUGCAAACAUCAACUGUUAAUUUGCAUGCAAUAUCUUGGAGAUGUUAAUUAGCUAGUAAAAUGUUUGGAUAUGUUAAUUAGCUCACGUAAAAUCCACAUGAUGAUUAUAUUCCUAAGAUUUGUAUAGGAAGUUUGCAAGCAUCAACUGUUAAUUUGCAUGAAAUAUAUUGCCUUGUCUUGAGAUUGAAACUGUAAAAAUAAUUCUAGAGAGCUUGAAAGAUCCCUCUCACUCUCAUUAUAUAUAAUGAAGAUUUUAUCCAUGUUCUUUUGCACACUUUAUACUUAUUGCUUUUGUGCUAUAUAUGGAAGUUGUUGAGUGGAGGGAAAGGACAAGGAAGGGGAGGGAAGGGAAAGAGGGGAAGUUACCUCUAUCUGGAAUCUUUCAAGCUAGGGUUGGUCGGGUCAUUUUUCUCAUCUCUUCCCUGCCCUUUCUUUACCUUAUCCAAACAUAACACUGUUUCUCUAGUAUUGCCACAGGCGGAGUUCACUUGUAUGAUUGAUCAUUAACAUAAGAUGUAUAAACUACAGGUCGAGGAAAGCUUGUCUGCCCUGUUUGUUUAGGAACCGGUUUGCCAAACAAUAAAGGUCUCCUGAGGAGGCCCGAUGCACGGAAACUGCUUGAUAAGAUGUAUAACGGACGGCUAAUUCCAAACUCUUAGAAGACGUAAAUUUGAGCAAAACUGAGGCCAGCCAGUGCUGCUUUUUGGCGCAAUGAUUGGGAUGUUCUUCACCGGUUAACAAAGCCAGUGACUGCAUUGGUAAAUCAACUUGUAGCACAGAACAUGUUGCUGAAGGUUUUUUGCUUCUAUUUUUGGUCUAGAUGCAUUACAGAACUCUAACCAUCAUCGGCUUGAUUAUCAACCUUAUAAUUUACAUGGUUCUGUAAUAAAAAUGUCCAUGUCCAUCGUCAUGUUCGUGUGGACUGUAUUGAGUUGCAAGACCCGUAUAUUAUGUAAACAUCGAGCAAAUACUUCCAGCAAGAGUAGCUAUUUAGGUUCCUAUUCAGCUCCCAAGUAAAUCUGUAAAUGUUUAUGCAAAUAGUGUACACUUAAGGUAAUAAGUUCUUAAAGACCUUAAAUAUUAUGACUC